rnacentral:rRNA from 1 species
AUGGGGCCAACCCAAUGGUGGUUUCAGUUUGGAGGGGAUGUUCCUGCAUUGCAGAAAUGUGCAAUGAGAAUUUGCUCACAAUGUGUCUCCUCUAGUGGGUGUGAGAGAAAUUGGAGCGCUUUUGCUUUGGUGCACACAAAGCAAAGAAGUCGUCUUCUAUAUGACAAGCUCCACAAGCUAGUUUCUGUACGCUACAACUUAAAGAUACGUGCUGAAGAAGAUCAAGAGAAAGAGAGAGAUAUAGAUAAAGAAAUUGAUCCAAGUGCAUUGCUAAUGGAUACCACAAUGUUUGAUGAAACAAACCCAAUAAUGGAGUGGCUGAAUGAGGAUGUAGAGGAUCCGAUUGUGGAUGGAGCUGAUGCAGCUAGUGCUGUUUUUGAGCAAAUAAGGCGCCUCAACUCAAGCAGGAAGGCGUCUUAUGUUGGUUCAAAGGGUAAUAACAAGAAAAGAAAGAGGAAUGAUGAUGAUGAGAAUGAGUUUCUUGAAACUGAGAGUGAGGAUGAUGAAGAAGAGAAUGAAUAUGUUGAUAAUGACAUCGAGGAUGAUGAUGGGGUGAGUGAGGAUGAUGAGGAUGGUGAACAAGAUCAGCUAGAGACACAAAUGCAACUUGAAGAAGAGACACAAGUACAAGUUCAAAAGGAGGCACCAACAAGCACUGGCCAUUUGGAGACUAGAUCUGGACGACUUAUUAGGAAGAAGACCAAGAACGUCAACAGCCUCUACUCGUAA